rnacentral:rRNA from 1 species
CCUACGGGAGGCAGCAGUAGGGAAUUUUGCGCAAUGGGCGAAAGCCUGACGCAGCAACGCCGCGUGAUCGAGACGCCCUUCGCGGUGUAAAGAUCUGUCAGUGGGGACGAAACUUGACGGUACCCACAGAGGAAGCACCGGAUAACUCCGUGCCAGCAGCCGCGGUAAUACGGGGGGUGCAAGCGUUGUCCGGAAUCAUUGGGCGUAAAGCGUUCGUAGGCGGCACGUAAAGUCUGGUGUGAAAGGCAGAGGCUCAACUUCUGUACGGCACGGGAUACUUGCGAGCUAGAAUGCGGUAGAGGUAAAGGGAAUUCGUGGUGUAGCGGUGAAAUGCUUAGAUAUCAGGAGGAACACCGGUGGCGAAAGCGCGUUACUGGGCCGUAACUGACGCUGAGGAACGAAAGCCAGGGUAGCAAAUGGGAUUAGAUACCCUGGUAGUC